UGGGGAAUAUUGCACAAUGGGCGCAAGCCUGAUGCAGCCAUGCCGCGUGUGUGAAGAAGGCCUUCGGGUUGUAAAGCACUUUCAGCGGGGAGGAAGGCGAUAAGGUUAAUAACCUUGUCGAUUGACGUUACCCGCAGAAGAAGCACCGGCUAACUCCGUGCCAGCAGCCGCGGUAAUACGGAGGGUGCAAGCGUUAAUCGGAAUUACUGGGCGUAAAGCGCACGCAGGCGGUCUGUCAAGUCGGAUGUGAAAUCCCCGGGCUCAACCUGGGAACUGCCUUCGAAACUGGCAGGCUAGAGUCUUGUAGAGGGGGGUAGAAUUCCAGGUGUAGCGGUGAAAUGCGUAGAGAUCUGGAGGAAUACCGGUGGCGAAGGCGGCCCCCUGGACAAAGACUGACGCUCAGGUGCGAAAGCGUGGGGAGCAAACAGG
rnacentral:rRNA from 1 species